rnacentral:misc_RNA from 1 species
UCUCCGUAGGUGAACCUGCGGAGGGAUCAUUACAGAGUUCAUGCCCUACCGGGUAGAUCUCCCACCCUAUGUUAUUAUUACUUUGUUGCUUUGGCGGGCCGUUAGGCUCCGGCCCGACUACCGGCCCCGGCUGGUAAGCGCCCGCCAGAGGACCCAAAACCCUGAAUAUUAGUGUCGUCUGAGUACUAUAUAAUAGUUAAAACUUUCAACAACGGAUCUCUUGGUUCUGGCAUCGAUGAAGAACGCAGU